rnacentral:tRNA from 1 species
GGAGGAGUACCCAAGUGGCCAAAGGGGACAGACUGUAAAUCUGCUGGCUUUGCCUUCGAUGGUUCGAAUCCGUCCUCCUCCACCA